AGAGUUUGAUCCUGGCUCAGGACGAACGCUGGCGGCGUGCCUAAUACAUGCAAGUCGAACGGUCUUUUCUAUGGAAGCUUGCUUCCACUGAGAAGAUAGUGGCGAACGGGUGAGUAACACGUGGGUAACCUGCCCAUAAGAGGGGGAUAACAUCCGGAAACGGGUGCUAAUACCGCAUAGUUUUCUUGAUCGCAUGAUCGGGAAAGGAAAGACGGCCUUUGUGCUGUCGCUUAUGGAUGGACCCGCGGCGUAUUAGUUAGUUGGUGAGGUAACGGCUCACCAAGACGAUGAUACGUAGCCGACCUGAGAGGGUGAUCGGCCACAUUGGGACUGAGACACGGCCCAAACUCCUACGGGAGGCAGCAGUAGGGAAUCUUCCGCAAUGGACGAAAGUCUGACGGAGCAACGCCGCGUGAGUGAAGAAGGUUUUCGGAUCGUAAAACUCUGUUGUCAGAGAAGAACAAGUUGGAGAGUAACUGCUCCAGCCUUGACGGUAUCUGACCAGAAAGCCACGGCUAACUACGUGCCAGCAGCCGCGGUAAUACGUAGGUGGCAAGCGUUGUCCGGAUUUAUUGGGCGUAAAGCGAGCGCAGGCGGUUCCUUAAGUCUGAUGUGAAAGCCCACGGCUCAACCGUGGAAGGUCAUUGGAAACUGGGGAACUUGAGUGCAGAAGAGGAGAGUGGAAUUCCAUGUGUAGCGGUGAAAUGCGUAGAUAUAUGGAGGAACACCAGUGGCGAAGGCGACUCUCUGGUCUGUAACUGACGCUGAGGCUCGAAAGCGUGGGGAGCAAACAGGAUUAGAUACCCUGGUAGUCCACGCC
rnacentral:rRNA from 2 species